UAGAGUUUGAUCCUGGCUCAGGAUGAACGCUGGCGGCGUGCUUAAUACAUGCAAGUCGAACGGAAGAUGUAGCAAUAUAUCUUUAGUGGCGAACGGGUGAGUAACGCGUUGGUGACCUGCCCCAAAGAGAGGGAUAACAGUUCGAAAGGACUGCUAAUACCGCAUGAGUUCACAGAGAUUGGAAGGCUGUGAAGAAAGGCGAAAGCCGCUUUGGGAGGGGCCUGCGUCCCAUCAGCUAGUUGGUAGGGUAACGGCCUACCAAGGCGAUGACGGGUAGGGGACCUGAGAGGGUGGCCCCCCACAAUGGAAUGAAACACGGUCCAUACACCUACGAGUGGCAGCAGUAGGGAAUAUUGGUUAAUGGGCGAAAGCCUGAACCAGCAACGCCGCGUGUGCGAUGAAGGCCUUCGGGUUGUAAAGCACUUUUAGUAGAGACGAGGAAAGACGGUACCUACAGAAUAAGCCUCGGCUAACUACGUGCCAGCAGCCGCGGUA
rnacentral:rRNA from 1 species